rnacentral:rRNA from 1 species
GACAGAGGAGGCAAGCGUUGUUCGGAAUCAUUGGGCUUAAAGGGCGUGUAGGCGGCCGCGCAAGUGUCCUGUGAAAUCCCACGGCUCAACCGUGGAACUGCGGGGCAAACUGCACGGCUUGAGGUCGGUAGAGGCGCCUGGAACUCUAGGUGGAGCGGUGAAAUGCGUAGAUAUCUAGAGGAACGCCAGGAGCGAAAGCGGGGCGCUGGGCCGAUUCUGACGCUGAGACGCGAAAGCGUGGGGAGCAAACAGG